AUGCUACUUUGUGGUGUUAUUGUGACCCCCACCCCCGCGCCAUAUCCACCGCAGGUGGGUGUGAGCCAGAGAUCGGGGUCACACAAACGAACAGAGAGGCGCUGGUCACAGCGGAGGAGCGCCCCGCACGACAGCCUUGCGGAGACGGGCAGCGGCCACACGGGGGCAGCGCCUUCCCAGGCUGAACGAGCACAGACGCGGCGAAGCCCCCGGGAGUCGGGAGGAAGCGCAGUAAGAGGUGGCCACGCGUCCUGGCCCUGUGCCCUUCCUUACGUUUCUCGCUCUGCCGGGCGCGCCAUGCCUGCAAACACAGGGCGUCAAUGGCCCCGGGAGGCUGGAAUGUGGGGUGUGCAGAAUCCCAUCCAGCGCAGUCUAGGGCAGGACCCAAGGGACACCCUGUGGGCAACCCCCACUCUGGGUUGGUCCCCUCCAAGUUCCUCUGCCCGCUCUCUGAUCUCACCCAGAUCGGUCCCCUCUCCCUCAGAGAGCGGCCCCUGGGCUUCAGGCACUUUUCUAGGCCCUGGCGGCACAGUCGUCCCGGGACGCUGUCUGGAAGGCAGGGACAGUAGUGUCCCCUCAGCGCCUCCUACCUGCCACCACUUCCACCUAUGCCAGGAGCCCCAGACCCGCCUCCAGACCCGCACCCGCCGAGUUCGGUGCGGAAGAGGCUGUAGGCGCCCGGGGCCCUGCCCUCGGAAGCAGGGGUCGCAGAGGGGCUCCGGCCUUGAGGUAUCUUGUGUCAGCCGCACACCCGGGCGUGGCUCUGGGACCGGGAGUGGGGAAGCUGCAGAGGCGCGCAGUGAUCCCAGGGGGGCGUCUGGAGACCACAGAAGGGGCGGUGCUCAUGGGACAGGCGUCUUUCUCGAGGGCCACAGUCGGGCCAGCGGGGCAUUUCUCCGGACGGCCUCUCCCCGCUCGCUCUGCUGGGAGGUUCACGCUUCCACCCUCAGCGCGGGGCCGCCCUGCCUCGCCCUCCGGAGCCCCCAAGCGGGUGUCAAGGGCAGCCGCACCCACGCGGAAAGCUCAGUUUCCCCUCCUGUCCUUUGGGUUUCUGUGGCUUCUUUCUGCCACCGUAGCUGGAACCAGGACGUGGCCGUGGUCUGGGAGAGCUGGGCCCAGAGUCCCGGCUUCCUGCGUGAGGGGGAGCGGCUGGGAAGCGGGUUCCUGGCGGCUGGACCACCGCCCCAGGUGGGCGUGCGGACUCGGAGCCUGGAUUCACACACAUAG
rnacentral:lncRNA from 1 species